UGAGUAACCUGCCCUGGACUUUGGGAUAACCCUCGGAAACGGGGGCUAAUACCGGAUAUGACACGCUCUCGCAUGGGAUGUGUGUGGAAAGUUUUUUCGGUCUGGGAUGGGCUCGCGGCCUAUCAGCUUGUUGGUGGGGUGAUGGCCUACCAAGGCGACGACGGGUAGCCGGCCUGAGAGGGCGACCGGCCACACUGGGACUGAGACACGGCCCAGACUCCUACGGGAGGCA
rnacentral:rRNA from 1 species